AGGGUCCUUUCAAAUUACAUAAAAUUUCCAAAGCAUAUUCACCUAUCUGUUGGAGAUGUCAUAAAACGAUUGGUACAAUAUUACAUAUAUGGUACAAUUGUGAGUUAUUAAAUGACACUAUUAUACGUAUUUCUUUUCUGAUAUCAGACUUAACUCCGCUUACUAUAAUACUCUCACCUUCUCUUUUCCAAUUUAACUUAGAUUUCCUGCUAAAAAAAAUACAAAUAUCUUAUUACACAGAUUCUGUAUGCCUUCUAUUGCCCGUAAAUGGAAAUCUAACCAUCCUCCAACGUGGCAAGAGAUUUUAAACCAAAUAGAAUACCAAUACUUAAUGGAAUGCAAUUUUGUUUCUUCCUCUGGCAAAUUCAUCUCAUAUCAUGAUCAUGGCUUUCUUGGCUGAUAUAUACAAACAAAAUUCAAUUAGAUUGAGCUUAAGAAUGGAAUAGAGGGUCUAGUUAAUUGGGCCACUUUCACUGACCCCACAGGCCUAAUAAGUGAUCUCUUGGAUAUAUAUAACCUCUCUAUUUCAUCGAUCGAGCCCCAGUGGAUGUAGUCCUUUUU